rnacentral:lncRNA from 1 species
GGUGGGACUUGCUCUCGAGUUCAUCCCAGGCCCCACUCUUACCUGUGCUGGACUCCUGGCCCCUGGACUCAGUGGUGUUAUCUGACUGGCCGCUCCAGGCUUCUGAGGGGGUGGUCUCUGGUCUUAAGUGCAGACAGCUCCCAGGCCUGGGGGUUGGGGUGGUGAGGAGGCUGAGUGACAUAUAAGUGACCCCAGAGCAGAGCAGAACAGAACAGAUAGCCCCUACUCUGGGGACACACGUUGUGUGACCCGAGGACAGAGGCGGAGGCGGUGGAAUCCGCUUGGGAGUGCACAGGGCUUCCAGGAGGAGUCCUUGUCAGACACAAGCCCUGAAGAAUGGCUAGUCCCUGAGCACUGGCAAUCCUGACCCACGGUGCGAUCCAAGCACAGCACGUGUGGUGUGCACGAGGGCCCUUGCAGAAAUCCGUGUGUGGUGAGUUCCUGGGACCAGUGACUCAGGCUGGCUUCCACAGACGCGGAGGCUGAAGACUCCUGUUCACUGGGAGGCGAUCCUGGGAGCCUCAGACAGUGGCUUGGGAGCGACAGGGAGGAGGAGGAAGCCAACAGAGCUCUGUUUUCCAAAGUCAGUGUUUUGGCAAAGGACAGACAUGACGUGGAAAGGAAAGUUUUCACGAACUUAGGAAUCAGGUUCUUCAUACACGUGACAGUGGAGGCUCAUCACCGAUCAACUAGAGUUAGACUCUGCAUCUGCAUGUUUAAGAGUUAACUAACCCUGGAUCCUUGACAUACAAUCCAAACAUACUCGUGGAAAUUCAGCAUCUUUGCGAUAGGCACAGAAAGCCUUAGCCAAGGCAGUGAAUCUCACUGACAUUCAAAGAAUUAUGUCUGACAACUGGAUUUUGAGCAAUUAUUCUUCCUCCUUGUUGGAUGGGGCCUUGGACCCAACAGUAAAUAUUUGUGGCCUCAAGUUGAGUAGAGACACAAAUAUAGUGUAACCCUCUAAAUGCUUUGCUAACCCUCACCAAGGAGUCAAGACCUCGCCGAUCCCUUCAUCCCCCACCCUGUCAAAGCCCAAGGCCGGCAGGAGCCUGGGCUCCCACUGAGCCGCCUCCUUCAGGCCACAGAUCUGCGAUGGCCACAGCACCUCUGUCUUCUCAUGCUAGCUCCGUCCUCAGAGAGAUGCCAGCAGGAUGGUACAAGCUCUGCCAAGGAAGGUCUUGGGAAAGUCAAGCAUCAUCAUUAUUAAUUCCCCGCUGUUUGCCUGGGAUGGAAGCCACUGGAGCACCAAUGGAAGAGUCUUGACUCCAAUAAAUAAACACGUCCUUUGGGCAGAUGUCUGGACUGCUCCGGCUGCUGACUGAUGGCCCCUCGCCAUGACAGUGGGCGCACAGGGACAGCCCAAAGGCUCUGCCUCGUCACAACAAGCAGGCUGGAACCUGGGCCCGGUUUUAGGGCCAUCCCUUUGAAAUACACUGACAGCUUAAUGAAGUGAUAUUUAUGGAACCCAUGCCACUGGGAAGACGGCUGCUCCUUUUCUCCGUCUUCUAUUUUUAAUAUUUGAUCUGGCAAAUGCAUUAUUAAAGGAAUAUUUCAAAUCUGAUUACUCUUCUGUUUGACUGUGUGUUAUUCACGCACGCUGGGCGCCAGGGGAAAUUAUACCGACCAGUCUGGGAGCUUUACGAUGUUAUUCUUUCAAACAGCCCUCUGCUCCGAGUCUGAUUAAUUCACGUGAGAGGCUGUGGGCCCCCUCGCCUUAAUCACAGUGGCCUCCUCCUUUCCUCCCAGUCUCCCUCAAGGCCUGUUCCGGACUCUUCUCCUGGGGCUCAGGAACCUCCUCUCUGAGAAGCGGUCUCCCUGGAUAUCCACAAAGUCGUUCUGCUGUGGUUUUGGUUAAUCAUUGAAUUGUUAACUGAGCCUCAGUCUUCUUCAUAAGGCACAGAACAGUGGGCAGGAACUCGGAGUGUGCCCUGACACGGCCUCACCUGGGUUUGAACCCUGGGUCCAGCCACAGGCGUCAUGGUCACUUUCCUGCACGUCUCGUCUCUCCACUUUUCCCUUUGCAAGAGGCUAGCUCCACCUUGGAAGUCUCAAGCCACCUGAUAAAUCUACCCCUGGCUCGGCCUUUAGCAGGGAGCCAGAGAGAGCCUUUGAGCCCCACAGGGAAGAACAUUCAUGGGGUGGGUGCCGCGUGGCCCUGCCAUGCCACUGGGACUCAGGCAAGAGGCUUCGUCUCCAAAGGCAGAGGGGCACAGAGACGAGACUGUAGGCUCAGCUCUCGCUGACCCACUGAAGCCCGUGUCCUGGCUCUAAGACUCUCUGGGCCUCACAAAUCCCAGGGACUUUGGCCAACUAUGUACUUUUUCUGUAAGGGCUAGAUAGUAAAUAUUUUAGCCUUUGCAGGCCAUAUAGUCACUGUCACAACUAUUUGACUCUGUCACGAUAGCACUAAAGCAGCCUUGUAAACCAAUGAGCAUGGCUGUGUCCCAAUAAAACUUUAUAGACAAAAACAAGCAGCGGGCCAGAUUGGUCUGCAAGCCGCAGUGUCCAGACUCCUGCUUUAGACGUCUGCUUGAAUUAGGCAUGUUUUUAAAAAAACUAAAACACUUCAGCUUCAUCUUAAGCAAUACUCAUGAAAUCAGAGGCUUAAUUUCUGAGUCACAUAUAUAUAUUUUUUCCCCA